rnacentral:rRNA from 1 species
GGCCUAACACAUGCAAGUCGAGCGGGAAAGUUCCCUUCGGGGGGCGAGUACAGCGGCGCACGGGUGAGUAACACGUAGGUAACCUACCCUGGAGACUGGGAUAACCUGCCGAAAGGCGGGCUAAUACCAGAUAAGACCACGAGGGCUGCGGCCCUAGCGGCAAAAGGUGGCCUAUGCUUGCAAGCUACCACUCCGGGAUGGGCCUGCGCGCCAUUAGCUAGUUGGUGGGGUAACGGCUCACCAAGGCAGAGAUGGCUAGCUGGUCUGAGAGGAUGGCCAGCCACACUGGGACUGAGACACGGCCCAGACUCCUACGGGAGGCAGCAGUGGGGAAUAUUGCGCAAUGGGCGAAAGCCUGACGCAGCGACGCCGCGUGGGUGAUGAAGGCCUUCGGGUCGUAAAGCCCUGUCAAGAGGGACGAAACCUCGUUGACCUAAUACGUCGACGACC